rnacentral:misc_RNA from 1 species
UACGUAGGGGGCAAGCGUUGUCCGGAAUUAUUGGGCGUAAAGCGCGCGCAGGCGGUUUCUUAAGUCUGAUGUGAAAUCUCGUGGCUCAACCACGAGCGGCCAUUGGAAACUGAGGAACUUGAGUACAGAAGAGGAGAGCGGAAUUCCACGUGUAGCGGUAAAAUGCGUAGAGAUGUGGAGGAACACCAGUGGCGAAGGCGACUCUCUGGUCUGUAACUGACGCUGAGGAGCGAAAGCGUGGGUAGCAAACAGG